AGAUGUGAGGGAGAUCUGGCUGCGACAUCUGUCACCUCGUUGAUCACCAAGGUUGAUUCAGCUGAUCUGGCUGGGUAGGUGGGUGUCCCCUUUCUCCCUCACCACUCCAUGUGCAUCCCUCCCAAAGCUGUGCAAAGAGGAUGACCAUCCCCAAUAGAGGAGGACCAUUCUUCGGUCAAGGGUAUACGAGUAGCUGUGCUCCCCUGCUAGAACCUCCAAACAAGCUCUCAAGAAGGCAGAGAUAAGGAGGAUCAUGGUUUGAAACCAACCCCAGCCAAAGAGUUCAAGAGACCCUAUCU
rnacentral:snRNA from 1 species